rnacentral:rRNA from 1 species
AUAAAAGACGUAAUGUACUACGAAAAGUUAUGAGUUAAUCAAUUAAAUUCAUAAAUUUCUUAAUAAGGUAAACUCCUAAAGUUGUUCUACAAAGGCCUAUUAUAUUAGCGAAAUGACACAUCUAAGUAGCUAGAAUAAAAAAUCAACCGAGAGUUCAUAAUUAGGUGGCGAGCCAACAUGAAUUAGAGAUAAAGCUUAAAAGGUAAUAGAAAAAUUAUGAAUGAUUUACUAUAAAAGGUUUUAGUCCUGUAUAUUAACCUUUAAGUAUAAAAAAAAUAAGAAAAUCAUUGACAUUUUCUAAAAACUGGGGUACCAUACCUCAACUCUAAUAUUAUUUUAUAAUCGAUAGCGAAAAGUACUGUGAAGGAAAAAUGAAAAGAAAGUUUAUUCAAAAACUUAUAGUGAAAAGACUUUGAAAUCUGAUGUAUUCAUUAGCUCAAAAUUUCGUUAGAAAAACGAAUUAACGAGGUUCCUUUUGUAUCAUGAGUCAACGACUUUAUAAUCGUAGCAAGCUUAAGUUGUUAAAUGUAAGCGUAGCAAAUACAUGUUUUAAAAAAGCUUUUUUUUAAUGAGUUGCGGUUAUAAUACCCGAAUUCAAGUGAUUUAGCCAAGAACAGACUAAAUAUAUAGUAAUAUAUGUGAGAAGGUCAAACUAAUGGUUGUUGCAAAAACCUUAGGUGAUUUUUGGCUCGGAGUGAAAGAUUAAUCAAACUUGAUAAUAGCUGGUUUUUUGCGAAAAAUAUUUAGGUAUUGCAUAAAUAAAUCUACAUAAUAAGUGGUAGAGCACUGUUUAAAUUAGGGGGAUUAAACUCUUACCGCAUUUAUAUAAACUCCGAAUACUUAUAUUUGUACUUUGUAGUCAGACUUUACGUGAUAAGAUGUAUAAGUCAAAAGGGAAACAGCCCAGAUUAAUAGCUUAGGUUUCUAAAAAAUAUGCUUAGUAAAAAGGUCGUAAAAAAAUUAAGAUGACUAGGAAGGUAAGCUUGGAAGUAGCUAUCCUCUAAAAAGUGUGUAAAAACUUACUAGUUGA